UAGAUACCCUUGUAGUCCACGCCCUAAACGUUGCCGACUAGCUAUCUUGAGUAUCGACCCUCGGGGUGGCGAAGCUAACGCGUUAAGUCGGCCGCCUGGGAAG
rnacentral:rRNA from 1 species